GAUGAACGCUGGCGGCAUGCCUAAUACAUGCAAGUCGAGCGGACGGACGAGACGCUUGCUUCUCUGAUGUUAGCCGCGGACGGGUGAGUAACACGUGGACAACCUACCUAUAAGACUGGGCUAACUUCGGGAAACCGGAGCUCAUACCGGAUAAUAUUUUGAACCGCAUGGUUUAAAAGUGCAAGACGGUCUUGCUGUCACUUAUAGAUGGCUUCGCGCUGCAUUAGCUAGUUGGUAAGGUAACGGCUUACCAAGGCAACGAUGCAUAGCUGACCUGAGAGGGUGAGCGGCCACACUGGAACUGAGACACGGCCCAGACUCCUACGGGAGGCAGCAGUAGGGAAUCUUCCGCAAUGGGCGAAAGCCUGACGGAGCAACGCCGCGUGAGGGAUGAAGGUCUUCGGAUCGUAAAACUCUGUUAUUAGGGAAGAACAUAUGUGUAAGUAACUGUGCACAUCAUGACGGUACCUAAUCAAAAAGCCACGGCUAACUACGUG
rnacentral:rRNA from 1 species